AUUGCUUCUCGGCUCCUUGGAGCUAAAAUCAAAGUGUAGUGUCUGUUCUUAUCAGUUUAAUCUCUUUUGAUGAACACUUACAACACCUGCUCUGAAGAUGGAUUCUCCUGCUGCCAUUUUUGAAAAAAAUCGAUGCUGCUUUGAAGAUGUAUUCCGCUACAUCUUCUUUGGAAGAAAAUCCU